rnacentral:rRNA from 1 species
UACGAAGGGGGCUAGCGUUGUUCGGAUUUACUGGGCGUAAAGGGCGCGUAGGCGGCCACCGCAAGUCAAUUGUGAAAUCUCCGGGCUUAACCCGGAAAGGUCAACUGAUACUGCGGGGCUAGAGUGCGGAAGGGGCAACUGGAAUUCUCGGUGUAGCGGUGAAAUGCGUAGAUAUCGAGAGGAACACCUGCGGCGAAGGCGGGUUGCUGGGCUGACACUGACGCUGAUGCGCGAAAGCUAGGGGAGCGAACGGG